AAUUGCAGAAUCCCGUGAACCAUCGAGUCUUUGAACGCAAGUUGCGCCCGAGGCCUCAUGGCCGAGGGCACGUCUGCCUGGGUGUCACGCAUCGUCGCCACCGAUCCCCUCGGCUCACGAGGGUGGGGGCGGAUACUGGCCUCCCGUGCGCUCCCGCUCGCGGUCGGCCCAAAAUCGAGUCCCGGGCGACGGUCGCCACGACGAGCGGUGGUUGAGAGACCCUCGAGAGCGGUCGUGCGCGUGCCUCGUCGCCCUUAGGGACCCUCCAGGACCCUCGAGCGUCGGCUUUUCUAGGACGCUCUCCUUGCGACCCCAGGUCAGGCGGGACUACCCGCUGAGUUUA
rnacentral:rRNA from 1 species